rnacentral:misc_RNA from 1 species
GCAACACCAUGUAGAGCAUCAUAACAGAAUGAGAAUUUGGGGGAGGAUAGAAGCUUGCGAAUAGAUUCAAAAUCAAAUAUUGACUUCAUCAACUUCACAUAGUCACUAGCUGAAUCAAAAACCUCAACAUCAAAUUGUCCUUCAGGUCCGCCAAAGCUAGAAACACCUAUUGCGGAAAUAUCCACGUUAGGUAGAUCCUCAGCAAUUAAGUACUCCUUUAUGGAUUUUGUGUUUUCAUAGAUCUUAU